rnacentral:rRNA from 1 species
GUCUACGGCCAUACCACCCUGAACGCGCCCGAUCUCGUCUGAUCUCGGAAGCUAAGCAGGGUCGGGCCUGGUUAGUACUUGGAUGAGAGAAAUGAUUUCUAAUUAUUUGCAAUCAUUUGUUUCAUAACCU